rnacentral:rRNA from 1 species
GAUGAACGCUAGCGGCAGGCUUAACACAUGCAAGUCGAGGGGUAUUGGUUUUCGGACCAAGAGACCGGCGCACGGGUGCGUAACGCGUAUGCAAUCUACCUUUUGCAGAGGGAUAGCCCCAGAGAAAUUUGGAUUAAUACCUCAUAGUAUAGUACUUUGGCAUCAAGGAACUAUUAAAGUCACAACGGCAAAGAUGAGCAUGCGUCCCAUUAGCUAGUUGGUAAGGUAACGGCUUACCAAGGCUACGAUGGGUAGGGUCCUGAGAGGAGAUCCCCCANACUGGUACUGAGACACGGACCAGACCUCCUACGGGAGGCAGCAGUCGAGGAAUAUUGGACAA